rnacentral:rRNA from 1 species
UCCUGGCUCAGAUUGAACGCUGGCGGCAGGCCUAACACAUGCAAGUCGAGCGGUAGAGAGAAGCUUGCUUCUCUUGAGAGCGGCGGACGGGUGAGUAAUGCCUAGGAAUCUGCCUGGUAGUGGGGGAUAACGUUCGGAAACGGACGCUAAUACCGCAUACGUCCUACGGGAGAAAGCAGGGGACCUUCGGGCCUUGCGCUAUCAGAUGAGCCUAGGUCGGAUUAGCUAGUUGGUGAGGUAAUGGCUCACCAAGGCGACGAUCCGUAACUGGUCUGAGAGGAUGAUCAGUCACACUGGAACUGAGACACGGUCCAGACUCCUACGGGAGGCAGCAGUGGGGAAUAUUGGACAAUGGGCGAAAGCCUGAUCCAGCCAUGCCGCGUGUGUGAAGAAGGUCUUCGGAUUGUAAAGCACUUUAAGUUGGGAGGAAGGGUUGUAGAUUAAUACUCUGCAAUUUUGACGUUACCGACAGAAUAAGCACCGGCUAACUCUGUGCCAGCAGCCGCGGUAAUACAGAGGGUGCAAGCGUUAAUCGGAAUUACUGGGCGUAAAGCGCGCGUAGGUGGUUUGUUAAGUUGGAUGUGAAAUCCCCGGGCUCAACCUGGGAACUGCAUUCAAAACUGACUGACUAGAGUGUGGUAGAGGGUGGUGGAAUUUCCUGUGUAGCGGUGAAAUGCGUAGAUAUAGGAAGGAACACCAGUGGCGAAGGCGACCACCNGGACCAAC